rnacentral:rRNA from 1 species
GUCGAACGGUAACAGGAGAAGCUUGCUUCUUGCUGACGAGUGGCGCACGGGUGAGUAAUGCAUAGGUAACGUGCCCCUUAGUCUAGGAUAGCCACUGGAAACGGUGAUUAAUACUGGAUACUCCUUCUUCCUUAAUGGAAGUUGGGAAAGUUUUUCGCUAAGGGAUCGGCCUAUGUUGUAUCAGGUAGUUGGUGAGGUAAUGGCUCACCAAGCCUAUGACACAUAGCGGGUCUGAGAGGAUGAUCCGCCACACUGGUACUGAGACACGGACCAGACUCCUACGGGAGGCAGCAGUGGGGAAUAUUGCACAAUGGACGAAAGUCUGAUGCAGCAACGCCGCGUGGAGGAUGACACAUUUCGGUGCGUAAACUCCUUUUAUAUGAGAAGAUAAUGACGGUAUCAUAUGAAUAAGCACCGGCUAACUCCGUGCCAGCAGCCGCGGUAAUACGGAGGGUGCAAGCGUUAUUCGGAAUCACUGGGCGUAAAGGGUGCGUAGGCGGUUUUGAUAAGUCUGAUGUGAAAUCCUAUGGCUCAACCAUAGAACUGCAUUGGAAACUGUCAAACUAGAAUACUGAAGGGGCAGAUGGAAUUAGUGGUGUAGGGGUAAAAUCCGUAGAUAUCACUAGGAAUACCCGAAAGCGAAAGCGAUCUGCUGGGAAGUUAUUGACGCUGAGGCACGAAAGCGUGGGGAGCAAACGGGAUUAGAUACCCCCGGUAG